GAUCAAAUACACUGGUUUAGUAACUGCGAGGAUCGAGUCACUUGUGCUGGCCGCAAGAUACCGGCAACCGUCUUCUGGAAUCCGACCAAAGCAGAUGUCCAGGUGCUGCAACGUCCUGUUGACUCUGAGGGCGCGGCCCAGAUACUGGGCUCCGUCAUGGCCCACCCCGUUCAUGGAGAAAUUGAGACAGCGUAAACCAGUGUUGUUCUGCAGUUUAGAAACAGAAACCAAAACCAAAAGGGUACAAGAGGAGUAUAGAGACUAGCAGCUUGUUACAGACGGUUGUUGACAAACAAAGAAUACCUCCACACUCUCACCUUCAAAGGGUCGCACAUGGCCUUGACCUCGGAGGGGCCGAGGUUUCGG